rnacentral:rRNA from 1 species
GACGAACGCUGGCGGCGUGCCUAAUACAUGCAAGUAGAACGCUGAGGACUGGUGCUUGCACCGGUUCAAGGAGUUGCGAACGGGUGAGUAACGCGUAGGUAACCUACCUCAUAGCGGGGGAUAACUAUUGGAAACGAUAGCUAAUACCGCAUGACAAUGGAGGACCCAUGUCUUUCAUUUAAAAGGUGCAACUGCAUCACUAUGAGAUGGACCUGCGUUGUAUUAGCUAGUUGGUGAGGUAACGGCUCACCAAGGCGACGAUACAUAGCCGACCCGAGAGGGUGAACGGCCACAAGGGGACUGAGACACGGCCCUU